rnacentral:rRNA from 1 species
UACGUAGGGCCCGAGCGUUGUCCGGAAUCAUUGGGCGUAAAGAGCGUGUAGGCGGCCGGUCACGUUCCGCGUGAAAUCUCACGGCUCAACCGUGAGCAGCCGUGGAAAACUGGUCGGCUAGAGUGCGGGAGAGGAGAGUGGAAUUCCUGGUGUAGCGGUGAAAUGCGCAGAUAUCAGGAAGAACACCCGUGGCGAAGGCGGCUCUCUGGAACGCAACUGACGCUGAGACGCGAAAGCGUGGGGAGCAAACAGG